CUUGGUUGAUCCUGCCAAGGAAGCACACUAUGGUCAUAGAUUAAGCCAUGCAAGUGUAAGUUCAGGUAACUAAACUGCGAAUAGCUCAUUAACACACUCAUAAUCUACUUGGAAACAAUUUUUUAAAAAUUUUAAAUGGAUAGCAGGAGUAAUUCUCGUGCUAAUACAUGAAAUUUUAAUAAUCUCAAAUUAAAUCAGAUUAUUUUUAAUACCUUUUAAUAGGUAAUCCAAUCGAAUGAGUGACCUAUCAGGCCAGUACUUAGGGUCUUUACCUAAGUAAGCUAUCACGGGUAACGGGCGGUUACCGUCGUACUGCCGGAGAAGGCGCCUGAGAGAUAGCGACUAUAUCCACGGGUAGCAGCAGGCGCGAAACUUACCCACUCGAGACUAUCGGAGGUGGUAAUGACCAGUUAUAAUUAAGGAAUUUUCCUUAUUAUAUAGGAAUAUACUUUUCCAGUAUAUUGUAACCUAGCAGAGGGCCAGUCUGGUGCCAGCAGCUGCGGUAAUUCCAGCUCUGCAAGUUUGCUCCCAUAUUGUUGUAGUUAAAACGCUCGUAGUCUGAAUUAUUUUAAUUUAAAUUUUUUAAAUUAAAAUUUAGUUUUUAUUUUAUAAAAACGUUCACUGUGAACAAAUCAGAACGCUUAAAGUAAUUUUCUUUAUUGAAUGAUUUAGCGCAGUAUGAAAUUUUUACUUUUUAAAUUUUAAUUAAUUUAACAAGUAAUAUCAAAGAGAAUAAUCGGGGAUAGAUCUAUUUCAUGGCGAACAGCGAAAUGUUUUGACCCAUGAGAGAGAAACGAAGGCGAAAGCAUCUAUCAAGUGUAUUUCUAUCGAUCAAGGGCGAGAGUAGGAGUAUCCAACCGGAUCAGAGACCCGGGUAGUUCCUACCUUAAACUAUGCCGACAAGGUUUUGUUUUUUUUUAAUAAAAGCAGUACCAUAGGAGAAAUCAUAGUUCAUGGGCUCUGGGGGAACUACGACCGCAAGGCUGAAACUUGAAGGAAUUGACGGAAGGGCACACCAGGGGUGGAGCUUGUGGCUUAAUUUGAAUCAACACGGGAAAACUUACCAGGACCAGAUAUUUUUAAUGACUGAUCAGGCUAUAGGUCUUUCAGGAUAUGAUUUUUGGUGGUGCAUGGCCGUUGGUGGUGCGUGGGUUGACCUGUCUAGCGUUGAUUCAGAUAACGAGCGAGAUUAUCACCAAUUAAAUAUAUAAAUAUUUUUAUUAAAAUAAUUUAUUUUCUAAUUGGGACUCCCUGCGUC
rnacentral:rRNA from 1 species